rnacentral:lncRNA from 1 species
UUCAGAACUUCAGCAAGGUGCACUCUUCAGCUCUUUCAACCUAAAAUGUUUGCACAACAACUGAACAGAAUCAGAGUAUCCCGAGUUCUUCGACACAGAUUAGCUAGUAAUCCCUCCGUAAAGAAAUAUGAGUGUUUAGAUCACUUUCUUUAAAGAAGGGUAGUAUCCAGUGUUUCAGGUGUAGAUGGUAACCUCUCAUCUUUAGAGAUUUUACGUUCAACAGACAAUACGUGAUUUUUCGUUUGACUUAUCUCUAAACUGCGAAAGAAUACAUUGUAGGAAUGUAUAGAGUUGCCAUACUAACAAGUAGUACAACUCAUUCUAAGUAGACAAUUUACUAGUUUGCAUUGCUCUAAUAGAUUUUGGAAUAUUUUAUUCCAUCGGACUAGCAUUGCUGGAACAAUUAUUGUUUCUUGCCUGUUUGUCUACAAAGAGGAGGAAUCUGGUUUCGCCCCCUCCUUCCUACUAACAACAUUUAUGAAACAUGUCAUGAGCAUGCAGCUUCGACCACAAGACUUUUUGUGACUCCUCUGCAUGGAUCUCCGAAGUUCUUUGCUGACACCGGCACACUGCAACUGCUCACCCCGACGCAUGCCUGCAGAGUUCCCCGCAGCAUUGUCAGUAUCAUGAAGAUAAACACUACAGAAAGACAUAGCAAGUGUGGAAGUGGAACAGAUUAGAGUUACCUCCUGAGCGACUGCCAGAGCCUGAGAGCUGCUGCAUUCGCCAUGGCUGUAGCUCCCACAGGUGCCACUCGGUGUCCCGAAGCUUGCAAACUUGAUACUGCUGAUGACCUGACCUUCUUUGGGGCAUUCCAGACGAAGUGCUGGCCCGGACCUCUGUAAUUUCUGCUGGGAAGAGACCCAGCUAUCGAUUUGGUCGGGAUGAUCCUC